rnacentral:rRNA from 1 species
AUUGAACGCUGGCGGCAUGCCUUACACAUGCAAGCCGAACGGUAACGCGGGGCAACCUGGCGACGAGUGGCGAACGGGUGAGUAAUGUAUCGGAACGUGCCCAGUUGUGGGGGAUAACUGCUCGAAAGAGCAGCUAAUACCGCAUACGACCUGAGGGUGAAAGCGGGGGAUCGCAAGACCUCGCGCAAUUGGAGCGGCCGAUAUCAGAUUAGGUAGUUGGUGGGGUAAAGGCCUACCAAGCCUACGAUCUGUAGCUGGUCUGAGAGGACGACCAGCCACACUGGGACUGAGACACGGCCCAGACUCCUACGGGAGGCAGCAGUGGGGAAUUUUGGACAAUGGGGGCAACCCUGAUCCAGCCAUGCCGCGUGCGGGAAGAAGGCCUUCGGGUUGUAAACCGCUUUUGUCAGGGAAGAAAUCCUUUGAACUAAUACUUCGGAGGGAUGACGGUACCUGAAGAAUAAGCACCGGCUAACUACGUGCCAGCCGCCGCCGUAAGAC